rnacentral:tRNA from 1 species
GCCCGAGUGGUGAAAUUGGUAGACGCACUGGACUCAAAAUCCAGCGGUAGUGAUACCGUGCCGGUUCGAUUCCGGCCUCGGGCACCA